rnacentral:lncRNA from 1 species
CCCUGCUAGACAGACUGGCAGACAGAGCAACCACGGCCGAUUCCUCCCAUAAGCACCUGGAUGCUGAACUGAACGACAGCAGGCGCUUACUUUAGAGGAAGAGUGGGAUACCACAUUUGCUGAAAUACUUAGAGUCUGCACAGAAUGCUUUGGAUUCCCGAGAGCUGGCUUCCUCUGUGUGUUGUCACUGACUCCAGCACAGCUGCUGGCAGCACAGCCUGGAGAGACAUUUCCCCUUCGCAUUCAAAGACACAGAUCUCAUCACAGGUCCCCGUGGAGCUGUGGACUUCAGCGCAUGUCACAAAAGUUCUCUAUGAUGAUGAUGGUGGUGGUGACCUGCUCCACAAAGCCUGCUGGGACCAUAGUACCCAUCCCAAGAUGACCAACUGGGUCAGAGGCAGCCACAGGCUUUCCUUCUCAGGCAAGGGUCCCUCCUUUCAAGGAAACAGAUUUGUGCUCAUCGUUACAUUCCCCACCUGGAUGUCCAAAAUCCCAAAUGCCAUGGCUGGAUUAUAGAGCAAUGUCAAUCUCUUAAAACUGGAUUCAGACCCCGGGCGUGGUGGCUCACGUUUGUAAUCCCAGCACUUUGGGAGGCUGAGGCAGGCAGAUCACGAGGUCAGGAGAGAUCAUCCUGGACAACAUGGUGAAAACCCAUCUCUACUAAAAAUACAAAAAUUAGCUGGGCAUGGUGGUGGACGCAUGCAAUCCCAGCUACUUGGGAGGCUGAGGCAGGAGAAUCACUUGAACCAGGGAGUCAGACGUGGCAGUGAACCGAGAAGGCACCA